rnacentral:rRNA from 1 species
AGAGUUUGAUCCUGGCUCAGGACGAACGCUGGCGGCGUGCCUAAUACAUGCAAGUAGAACGCUGAAGGAGGAGCUUGCUUCUCUGGAUGAGUUGCGAACGGGUGAGUAACGCGUAGGUAACCUGCCUGGUAGCGGGGGAUAACUAUUGGAAACGAUAGCUAAUACCGCAUAAGAGUAGAUGUUGCAUGACAUUUGCUUAAAAGGUGCACUUGCAUCACUACCAGAUGGACCUGCGUUGUAUUAGCUAGUUGGUGGGGUAAGGGCUCACCAAGGCGACGAUACAUAGCCGACCUGAGAGGGUGAUCGGCCACACUGGGACUGAGACACGGCCCAGACUCCUACGGGAGGCAGCAGUAGGGAAUCUUCGGCAAUGGACGGAAGUCUGACCGAGCAACGCCGCGUGAGUGAAGAAGGUUUUCGGAUCGUAAAGCUCUGUUGUAAGAGAAGAACGAGUGUGAGAGUGGAAAGUUCACACUGUGACGGUAUCUUACCAGAAAGGGACGGCUAACUACGUGCCAGCAGCCGCGGUAAUACGUAGGUCCCGAGCGUUGUCCGGAUUUAUUGGGCGUAAAGCGAGCGCAGGCGGUUAGAUAAGUCUGAAGUUAAAGGCUGUGGCUUAACCAUAGUAGGCUUUGGAAACUGUUUAACUUGAGUGCAAGAGGGGAGAGUGGAAUUCCAUGUGUAGCGGUGAAAUGCGUAGAUAUAUGGAGGAACACCGGUGGCGAAAGCGGCUCUCUGGCUUGUAACUGACGCUGAGGCUCGAAAGCGUGGGGAGCAAACAGGAUUAGAUACCCUGNAUCAAUGCCCACAUAAAGCAUGGGAGUACCUCCAGAUGUAGUAUUUCAAGUCUACUUGGUUAUCCACGAAUUUUUUGCCUUGUUACCUUAGACGAGAUAAAACGUCUAUGCGUUAUCAAACUCAUUACCAAUUGAAACAAAAAACUGUGGUUAGAGCCUUUCGGAAAUCGUCAAGCGAUUGGAGGAAAUGAACUAAUCCACAGUGACUUAUUCCAAGUAUACCACUUGGGCUUUGGCAGUAGCUAACUGCGCUAAAUAUAAUAUAAGGAGAAAUAGAUGGAUUUAUGGUUUUCUGAAGU